rnacentral:rRNA from 1 species
UACGGAGGGGGCUAGCGUUGUUCGGAAUUACUGGGCGUAAAGCGCACGUAGGCGGCUUUGUAAGUUAGAGGUGAAAGCCCGGGGCUCAACUCCGGAAUUGCCUUUAAGACUGCAUCGCUAGAAUUGUGGAGAGGUAAGUGGAAUUCCGAGUGUAGAGGGUGAAAAUUCGUAGAUAUUCGGAAGAACACCAGUGGCGGAAGGCGACUUACUGGACACAUAUUGACGCUGAGGUGCGAAAGCGUGGGGAGCAAACAGG